rnacentral:tRNA from 2 species
GCGUCACUAGCUCAGCCGGAUAGAGCAUCGCCCUUCUAAGGCGAGGGCCAGGAGUUCGAAUCUCUUGUGACGCACCA